AGCAGCCGCGGUAAUUCCAGCUCCAAUAGCGUAUAUUAAAGUUGUUGCAGUUAAAAAGCUCGUAGUUGAAUUUCGGGGUCAGUAGGUUGGUCGUGCCACUGGUAUGCACUGGCCUCACUGAUUCCUCCUUCUUGUAGAACCGUAAUGCCAUUAGUUUGGUGUUGCGGGGAAACAGGACUGUUACUUUGAAAAAAUUAGAGUGUUUAAAGCAGGCUAACGCCUGAAUACAUUAGCAUGGAAUAAUGAAAUAGGACGUCCGAUCCUAUUUUGUUGGUUUCUAGGAUUGACGUAAUGAUUAAUAGGGAUAGUUGGGGGCAUUAGUAUUCAAUUGUCAGAGGUGAAAUUCUUGGAUUUAUUGAAGACUAACUACUGCGAAAGCAUUUGCCAAGGAUGUUUUCAUUAAUCAAGAACGAAAGUUAGGGGAUCGAAGACGAUCAGAUACCGUCGUAGUCUUAACCAUAAACUAUGCCGACUAGGGAUCGGAUGAUGUAAUUUUUAAUGACUCAUUCGGCGCCUUACG
rnacentral:rRNA from 1 species